UGGGUGCUUAGUUUAUCUAAAAAACAAAUGUUUUGAAAGCAUUUAAAGGAAUUAUUUCCAGUUCCC
rnacentral:tRNA from 1 species